rnacentral:lncRNA from 1 species
UCAAAAUCAUCUGUGCAUGUUCAAGUCAUCUGUCAACCUAGAAAGUCAACAGAAAGUCAACUGAGGGCUAGGAGGUGGAGAAAUGAGUUUCAACAUCUCAUUCAUGUUCAAAAGAGGCUUAUUAAUCAUGUCAAAUGCAUAUCUUGAAGAAUUUGAGGUCAAGUUGAAAGUUUCCAAAAAUGGAAAGUGACCUAUAAUUG